UACAACAAAACUUGAAGGAAACUGCGCGUAUUUCAGGUCAUACUUGGCCUACAAAUGCGCAACAACAAUGUAUUACUGGGCUGGUCAUCCACUUAGUUUUUAGCAGCUCCCCUAAGGAUCCAUUUACAGACUUAAGUUAGAUAUUUUUUUUGUUUUUUUUUUUUUCGGACCUUAACUACAAAGUUACGCGAAUACUCCGACGUCGAAAAAUUCGUAGGGGACUAGAAACCAUUAAUUUAAGUUUUUAUUUUCUUAAGUUUGAAAAAAAGACACUCAAAAUGUUUGUGAUCGAAAACGAAGUCUUUCUCUAGUCAGAAGUAGACAAAUUUCCCGACAUCGUUGCUGGAAAAUUCAUUUAAAAAGAAGUUCAGAAAAUGUAUAAAAAGUAUGCUGGAAACCGCUUCAGAAAAAUGUUCAUGAAAGGCACUUCAAUUUAAAUUUAAAGCUCUUUAGCACUCUAAAAAAUCAAAAUAUGUACCAGCAGUUCUCAAAUUAAAUUUAUGAAAAGCGAACACUAAAAGAAAGCUCAAAUUUAAAAGAAUUGAAACAAUUUUCCACUUUUGAAAGCCUUAAGCCUUAAAAGCAGAAUAAUUUUAAAUGUAGUAUAAGGAAAACGGCAAACCUCUUUAGGUACCUAAAAAAUGUCUAAAUCGCGCACUAAGUUUAAUUUGAGAAAUUCUUAAAAAUGUGUACAAAAUUCUCAAAAAUGUAAAUUUAAAUUGAAACAGGAAAAAGAAAUGUUGUACAUUCUACCGAAAUUCAAAAAAAUUUGGCUCUUUAGCAGUGGCGAAAAUAGCGAAAGAAAGCGGCAAACCUCUCUAGGUACCAAAAAAAAAUGCCUUAAUCGCGCACUAAAUUUAAUUUGAGAAAUCCUUAAAAAUCUAUAAAUAAUUCUCAACUUUUUUAUACAACAAAACUUGAAGGAAACUGCGCGUAUUUCAGGUCAUACUUGGCCUACAAAUGCGCAACAACAAUGUAUUACUGGGCUGGUCAUCCACUUAGUUUUUAGCAGCUCCCCUAAGGAUCCAUUUACAGACUUAAGUUAGAUAUUUUUUUGUUUGUUUUUUUUUUUCGGACCUUAACUACAAAGUUACGCGAAUACUCCGACGUCGAAAAAUUCGUAGGGGACUAGAAACCAUUAAUUUAAGUUUUUUAUUUUCUUAAGUUUGAAAAAA